AACUAAGUUUGUUAUUGGUAUGAGCUUUCGUGUGCAUGCACACUUCUUCAGAUAUUGGUAUGUGAAGAAGUGUGCAUGCACACGAAAGCUCAUACCAAUAACAAACUUAGUUUU